rnacentral:rRNA from 1 species
CCUACGGGUGGCAGCAGUGAGGAAUAUUGGUCAAUGGGCGGAAGCCUGAACCAGCCAAGUAGCGUGCAGGAUGACGGCCCUACGGGUUGUAAACUGCUUUUAUACGGGAAUAACGCGCCUUCCGUGUAGGGCUUUGCAUGUACCGUAUGAAUAAGGAACGGCGAAUUCCGUGCCAGCAGCCGCGGUAAUACGGAGGGUCCGGGCGUUAUCCGGAUUUAUGGGGGUUAAAGGGAGCGUAGGCCGCAUGUCAAGCGUGUUGUGAAAUGUCCGGGCUCAACCCGGGACGUGCGGCGCGAACUGGCUUGCUUGAGUCCGCGGAAAGCAGGCGGAAUUCGUCGUGUAGCGGGGAAAUGCUUAGAUAUGACGAAGAACCCCGAUUGCGAAGGCAGCUUGCUGCAGCGGAACUGACGCUGAUGCUCGAAAGCGCGGGUAUCGAACAGGAUUAGAUACCCUAGUAGUC